rnacentral:tRNA from 1 species
GGAGAGAUGGCCGAGUGGCUGAAGGCGCACGCCUGCUAAGUGUGUAUGGGCUAAUCACCCAUCCAGGGUUCGAAUCCCUGUCUCUCCG